rnacentral:rRNA from 1 species
UGGGGAAUAUUGCACAAUGGGCGCAAGCCUGAUGCAGCCAUGCCGCGUGUAUGAAGAAGGCCUUCGGGUUGUAAAGCACUUUCAGCGGGGAGGAAGGCGUUAAGGUUAAUAACCUUGGCGAUUGACGUUACCCGCAGAAGAAGCACCGGCUAACUCCGUGCCAGCAGCCGCGGUAAUACGGAGGGUGCAAGCGUUAAUCGGAAUUACUGGGCGUAAAGCGCACGCAGGCGGUCUGUCAAGUCGGAUGUGAAAUCCCCGGGCUCAACCUGGGAAAUGCAUUCGAAACUGGCAGGCUAGAGUCUUGUAGAGGGGGGUAGAAUUCCAGGUGUAGCGGUGAAAUGCGUAGAGAUCUGGAGGAAUACCGGUGGCGAAGGCGGCCCCCUGGACAAAGGCUGACGCUCAGGUGCGAAAGCGUGGGGAGCAAACAGG